GACGAACGCUGGCGGCGUACUUAACACAUGCAAGUCGAACGGAAAGGCCCUGCUUUUGUGGGGUGCUCGAGUGGCGAACGGGUGAGUAACACGUGAGUAACCUGACCUUGACUUUGGGAUAACUUCAGGAAACUGGGGCUAAUAUCGGAUAGGAGCUCCUGCUGCAUGGUGGGGGUUGGAAAGUUUCAGCGGUUGGGGAUGGAUUGGCGGAUUAUCAGCUUGUUGGUGGGGUAGGGGCUUACCAAGGCUUUGACGGGUAGCCGGCCUGGGAGGGUGACCGGGCACAUUGGGACUGAGAGACGGCCCAGAGUCCAACGGUAGGCAGCAGGGGGAAAUAUUGCACAGUGAUCGGAAGCCUGAGGCAGAAACGCCGCGGGCGGAAAGACGGUCUUCGGGUUGUAAAACGCUGUCGCCUGAGACGAAGCGGUAGUGACGGUAAUGGGUAAAUAAGCACCGGCUAACUACGUG
rnacentral:rRNA from 1 species